rnacentral:rRNA from 1 species
UACGUAGGGGGCAAGCGUUGUCCGGAUUUAUUGGGCGUAAAGAGCGUGUAGGCGGCCAGGGAGGUCCGUUGUGAAAACUCGAGGCUCAACCUCGAGACGCCGGUGGAAACCAUCAGGCUAGAGUCCGGAAGAGGAGAGUGGAAUUCCUGGUGUAGCGGUGAAAUGCGCAGAUAUCAGGAAGAACACCCGUGGCUAAGGCGGCUCUCUAGUACGGUACUGACGCUGAGACGCGAAAGCGUGGGGAGCGAACAGG